CUGAGCCGUGGACCGCGCGGUGUCUCAGGCGACGGCAGACGGAUGCGUGGACCGACCUGGACCCGCGGAGCUUUAGCUCCUCACAGAUAACGCCUCGUGACACAUCAUCAUCGUUGUACCACAGAAGUGGUAUGUUAAGACGCCUACAAAUGAAGCUGAGGAGCCAUAACCUUCAAUGUGUAAUAGAUGAGUCCUGGGGACACUUGAUAAUCGUGUGUGACAGAAGUGUUAUGAUGAGGCCUGGGGAGACUUCAUCAUCAUUGGGUUACAAAUAAGGCUGAGGAGACAUGGUCUUCACUUGGUUAGAGAUGAGCCCUGGGGGACAAGACCAUCAUGUUGUUACAGAUGAGGCCUGGGGAGACUUGAUCAUUAUUUUGCUACAGAAAUGGUAUGGGUCUCCAUCAGGCUGACCUGGAAUUAACUACAUUAUCUCAAGGUGGCCUCAAACUCUCAGCAAUCCUCCUACUUCUGCCUCCCAAAAACUUGAAUUAAAGGAGUGUGCAACCAUGCCCUGUGGUCAUCACUAUUUUAGGGAAGAGGCAUGUGGAGACAUGAACAGCA